ensembl:lincRNA Gm20610 predicted gene 20610
GUCCAGCCCGUCCGGCUUCUCUGAAGCCUUUGCAGAACCCAGUGGCAGAGCUGGCUGUAGUUUACCUUCCCAGCCUACCCUGGAAGAGAGGAACUCACCUGCACAGAGACACUGUCUGUCUCCUUCCCAACUAAAGAGCAUGUGAUUUCAGACCCGGAAGGCCAGCUCUGGGGUGCUCCCUAAAGGCCCAUUCUCUUUUCUCACUGGCAGACACCAGGUUCUGACUCAACCUUGGCUCCUGAGCAAUGUGUAGUACCUUCUGUCCCCCCGGAGGUCCUCUUAACAAGCCCCAAACCAGGCCAUUUGCAGUGAUUCCCUCCCUGGGUCCUUGACGACGGAGCCUUGUCCACCCCGCUCUACUCGAGAGAAGAUUCAUGAGGCAGGUGGUAGCUAGAAUGUUCUGCAUGCAAGAAUUUUUGGAAGGGGUGGGGGAGAUUCGAGAUAGAGUUUCUCUGUGUAGCCACGAGUGUCCAGGAACUUGCUCUUUAGCUCAGGCUGGCCUUGAGCUUAGAGAUCUGCCUGCCUCUGCCUCCUGAGUGCCGGGGUUAAAGGCAUGCGCCACCACUGCCCAGCUAAGUAUUCUUACU